CAGUAGCCGCGGUAAUACGAAGGGGGCUAGCGCUGUUCGGAUUUACUGGGCGUAAAGCGCACGUAGGCGGAUCCUUAAGUCAGAGGUGAAAUCCCAAGGCUCAACCUUGGAACUGCCUUUGAUACUGGGGAUCUCGAGUUCGGGAGAGGUGAGUGGAACUGCGAGCGUAGAGGUGAAAUUCGUAGAUAUUCGCAAGAACACCAGUGGCGAAGGCGGCUCACUGGCCCGAUACCGACGCUGAGGCUCGAAAGCGUGGGGAGCAAACAGGAUUAGAUACCCCAGUAGUCCCUGUCUCUUAUAC
rnacentral:rRNA from 1 species